rnacentral:rRNA from 1 species
AGCAGCCGCGGUAAUUCCAGCUCCAAUAGCGUAUAUUAAAGUUGUUGCAGUUAAAAAGCUCGUAGUUGAAUUUCGGGAUCAAUAUAUCGGUCGUGCCAUUGGUACGUACUGGUAUCAUUGGUUUCUCCUUUCUGAAGAACCAUGAUGUCAUUUAUUUGGUGUCGUGGGGAAUCAGGACUGUUACUUUGAAAAAAUUAGAGUGUUUAAAGCAGGCUCACGCUUGAAUACAUUAGCAUGGAAUAAUGAAAUAGGACGUUUGAUUCUAUUUUGUUGGUUUCUAGGAUCGACGUAAUGAUUAAUAGGGAUAGUUGGGGGCAUUAGUAUUCAAUUGUCAGAGGUGAAAUUCUUGGAUUUAUUGAAGACUAACUACUGCGAGAGCAUUUGCCAAGGAUGUUUUCAUUAAUCAAGGACGAAAGUUAGGGGAUCGAAGACGAUCAGAUACCGUCGUAGUCUUAACCAUAAACUAUGCCGACUAGGGAUCGGAUGAUGUUAAUUUUAAUGACUCAUUC